rnacentral:lncRNA from 1 species
GGAUUUUCUACUCUGACUGGUGGCACAGGAACAAAAACUAUUCUAUGCCUUGUAAAGAAGGAGAGGAAGAAUAAGAUGAAGAAGAAAAAGAAGAAGAGAAGGAGGAGGAGGAAGAAGAAAAAGAUGAAGAAAAUCAUGUUAAUCCUUAGGAAUUUCACUCUGAAGAGUAACUGGGUCCUAUCUCCAAAUAUAGUCACAUUGGAAGUUAGACAUUCAACACAUGAAUUCUGGAAGGACACAAACUUCCAGUCCAUAACAAGAGCUGAAGUAUUUUUACAUCAAUUUCCAUUACUUCUGGCACUUCUGGACUACCAUGUGUGUGAACAAAAGGGCGUUUGCAAUCAGAAGAGGCUCUCAGAUAAAGAUGUGCAAGUUCCGGCAAUUGGAAAUGGGCCAGGUAUACACUGAAGUGGUAAAGACGGGGGGAAUAUCAGGGGGAUGUCAAUAGCAACUACUUUACUUCUUUAAUCAGUAUUUUCUGAAAAGCCUGCCAUAAUUUACCCAUCUAAAUAAACUUAGCCAUGUAUUGGGGAACUCAGAAAUUCUGACGUCACUUCAAAUCACCUAUGGAAAUGUGUAAGAAGGAUCGUUUUUACUGAAUUCAUUUGUUUUAUAAUUUUAUUUUUCUUAAUCAUUUGUGCUUUCUUCCUAUUGUGUCAAAAUGAGAUAACC